GCCACGCCUAUUUAUGGCAUAGUCGUCUUGGUCAUCUUUCCUUUGAGUCAUUAAAACAUAUGUUUCCAAAGUUCUUUAAAUCUUUGUUAGUUAGUGAGUUACAGUGUCAGACAUGUCAAUUGAGCAAACAUUGUAGAAGUUCUUUUCCUUCAAGAAAUAAAAUAUUUGAAUUUCCAUUUCAUAUUGUUUAUUUUGAUGUUUGAGACCCUGUUACUCUACUUUCUAAGACUGGAUAUAAGUAUUUCAUUACUUUGAUUGAUGAUUACUCUAAAUAUACUUAGGUUUAUCCUAAGCGAUUUGGAGAUAAAGUGCCAAAGAUUGUGAAAGAUUUUCAAUGCAUGUUUUUUACUCAAUUCCUGACUGAGAUUCAUAUUUUUCAAUCAGACAAUGCAAAUGAGUACUUCCAUAGUGAUCUCAUAGAGUUCUUUGCUUCGUAUCGAUCUCUUCAUCGAAGCUCUUGUGCUAGGACACCCUAGCAAAAUGGUGUCGCUAAAAGAAAGUCGCUAUCUUCUUGAAGUGGUUUGUGGCUUAUUACUCUAUAUACAUGUUCCGAAAUGCCUUUGGAUGGAUGCUGUUAUGUGUGCUGCAUAUAUUAUCAACCGUAUACCAUCUCGGUUAUUAUAGUAUAAAGCCCCACAUCAACUGUUGUUUCCUAUUCACGGUAAGCUCGAUCCUCGUGCCAUUCCUUGCAUUUUUCUAGGUUAUUCUUUAUCUCAAAAGGGCUACCGAUACUGUGAUCUUGCUUCACGCAAGUACUAUGUCUCCAUGGAUGUAUCAUUCUUUGAGAGUCAACAUUUUUUCUCAAUCUCUCCUUAGGGGGUGAGUAGGGUUAAGGAGAAACACACCCAAGCUCAAUUACCUCCUCUUCUUGGUCCUCCUCCAUUUUGUGUCUUCCUUCGCCGCCACAAGAGACAGUAGAGUUCAAGAGCUAUGGAACCUAAAACUAUGCAACCAACAUCAUCAGACUCUCAAGAGUGUUUUUGUUCCUAAGAAUAUGGUAGAAGCGUAUCCAAACCUGAAUGGAUAGAUGCAAUGAAGGAAGAAAUUAAUGCCUUGCACAAAAAUGGCACUUGGGAGUUGAUAGAUCUUCUUGAAGGAAAGGAACAGUAGGAUGCAAGUGGGUGUUCACAAUGAAGCAUGGAGCUGAUGGUGUGGUGGAAAGGUACAAAGCCAAUUGGUGGCAAAAGGGUUUAAAUAGUUAUAUGGAGUAGACUAUGCAGAGACCUUUGCUCUAGUAGCCAAGAUGAAUUCUAUCAGAAUCCUCCUUUCACUAGCAGCUAAUCUUGACUGGGAACUUCACCAGUUGGACAUUAAAAAUGCAUUCUUGAAUGGUGACCUAGAGGAGUUGGUGUAUAUGACUCAACCUCUAGGUUUUUGUGCCAAAGGUAGUGAGUUGAAGGUGUGUAAGUUAAAAAAAAAUCAUUAUAUGGGUUCAAACAAUUACAUCAGGCCUGGUUUAGUAAGUUUCAAUUAACUAUACACCAGAUGGGGUUCAGACAAUGCCAGUCAGAUCAUACUCUCUUUGUGAAGAAGGGUGAAGGAAAAAUUGCAGCUUUAAUUGUGUAUGUUGAUGACAUAGUGGUCAUUGUGCAUUUCACCAGAGACUAGGACAUGACACCGACCAAUGUUGGCAUUUGAAGUAUGCAAUCCAAAAGCUUAUCAAUCAAGGCCGAUACAACUCUGAGCUAGAGCUACCAGACAUGUUGCUACCACACCCGAAAACUUUAUUGCAUUAAACCUCAACCCACUCAUGGGUUUUUGACUAUGCAACUUUGUUGAUCAAUGAAAAUUCUCUUUGUAUUCAUGCUUCUUUUCCAAAGUAAUGUACUCGGUUAAUCAACGAAAUAUCUUUUUCAUGUCUUUUGCCUUUUCAAUAAUGGCUUAUAAGUGAGUAUCAAAUCGGGUAAUGGUCCAUAAUAACUAGUAUGGGAUAAGACCAGGGAGCAUUCUUGUCAUGAUCAAGUGAUUGGGACCCAGUCUAACACUUAAUGUGUGAUCUUAGGAAAUAAGGGUGGUCAAUUAGGCGAUCUAGAACAAGAUGUCAAGGGAAGAUAAGGCAUUUUAACAGUUAUGUACCAAGGUCAAGUAAUCAAUUGUAUAUCGCAAUACAAAAGUCACACAUUGCAAGUGCACUUCGUUAGUCAAUGCGUACCCUUUUAAUUAAUCAAAGAAAGGACUAGAGGCCAUCUUCGGUCGUUUUAUACCUCUCAUAUACCAUUUAUCAUCCUUAACACCGCUAGUUAUYCAGUUGAGAUAACUGGGAUGCAUUAUUCAAGGGUUAAAACAAGAGGAGGAAAAGGUAGAAUAAGAAAGGUGGAAAAUGGGAAGAAGAAAAAAAGGUGAAGAAAAAGAAAAUAAAAUAGGGGCGAUAAGAGCUUAUCUGCUUGACAUGUGAUUCUUUUCAUAAGUCACACAAUUAAGAAAUGAUGGGAGGCCAUCUUUUGGUUCUUUCCUUUGCCUUUUUUUUGCUUAACCCCCUUUACAUUAUUAAGUUUCUUAGUCAUCCCCUUUAAGCCUUUGUGUUAACCAAAUCCUCUCAAAUAAACCCUUUCUAGAGGGACGAAUGUGGAGAACGCCAAUGAAGAAUCAAAAAAUAGGAAAGCAAAAUCAUACAUUUAGUGGUUGCCAUGUGUAGUGGGAAAAGGAAAGGAAAGGAAAGGAAAGAAUGUAGUCAUCAGAUGCAAUCAAGUGCCAGAAAAAAAAACAAAAAAGAAAAAAAAAAUAGGGGCUACCAAGAUCAAUCCCAAAAUUGGGGCAACCAAGAUCAGUAAAAAAUUGGGGUAACCAAGAUCAAUCCCAAAACUAGGGCAACCAAGAUCAAUAAAAAAAAUGGGGCAACCAAGAACAGUAAAAAAUGGAGCAACCAUGAUCAGUAAAAAAAUUGGGUAAGCCGAGAUUAGUAAAAAAAACUAGGGCGAGUGAGAAAAUAGUCGGGUCUUCUCUAAGAAGGACAUUCGUCCCUAGUUUCGUUUCACACCACCUAUGCAUGUUUCAUCCUAGGAUAAAGUCUUCUUGGAUCAAGAAAGAAUGUAUGAGUAUUGAUAUUGAACGAAAUGAAGAGCAAAAGAGGAAAUAAGCAAUAGGCAAAGAAUGGAGGAUAAAAGGUGAUUCUAAGUCCUAACUAUGAACACAAGCAUCUGAUACCCAGAUUAGUUAAAUUUUGAGACUCUUUACCAUUCAUUUCUGAACUCCGUCCUAAACCAUGUUUCGUCCUAUCUAAGAAGUCCUCCACUCGUGAAAAAUUGGCAAAGUGGUACUGGGCACCUUAUGGGAUGGUGAUGGAAUAGAGUGCUCCCUAAAGAGUAGGAUCAAGCUUUUGCAAAAGAGGAAAAAUAAAAAAACAAGGGAAAAGAGGGCAUCCCCUUUGAAUACACAUUUUUCUCAAACUUCCUACUGGCAAUCUAAAUCUUCCAAGUCACAUACUUUGAAAGUUAAUUGAUUUCUCAAUCACUAGAUUGUCCCAAGAAAGCCACCAAGUUUAAGCCAUGCUAGAGCAUUGCAAGGUUCGAUUACUCCACUUGUAUCAACUUGGGUUAAGCACAUCUUUACACAACUCCCAUUACUUGCUCAAAAUAAAAUUUUGACCAUGGUCUCGCCAUCAAAGUAAACCAUGUUUUCUUUAUCAAAAUUUUUUUGUGUUAAAAAGUAUGCAAAAUUUGACUUUCUUGAGCUCCCCACUAUUAAAUCAAAUUAUGUCUUUCUUCAACUAAUAGGGAUCCUUUUGUCACUAACAUGGAAACCAUCAUACUCCAUUCAUCCCUUGCUCCUUGCAUUAGGCAAUUAAACUUUAUGGUAUCCGUUGCUUUGUGCAGUCUGUUUCAAGAAAUUUACACCUGUAAAAUUAUCAAAUAAAUUCAUCAUACAAAUAUCUCAUCUAAAAACAUACAUUUUGAAAGUCGUUAACCAAAGUCUUGUCCCGAGCAGUUUACAACCAAAAUACUAUCGAAUAAAUCUGCAUUUCUCCUCAGUUUAGCUUACACUUGAGAGCCUUUCAUCAAAGUCUUGCUUCGAGCAAUUUGCAUUCGUGCGUUCUCUGCUUCGUGUAGCUCGCUUCGAGCGAUUAGCCUUUGUGGCAUUCCUUGCUUCGAAUAGUUUACAACCAUAAUGCAAUCAAAUAAAUAUGCACAUCUUGUUGGUUUAGCUUACAUUCUAAGAGUCAUUAAUCAAAGUCUUUCUUCGAGCAAUUUGCCUUCAUAGCAUUCUCUACUUCGUGCAACUCACUCCGAGCGAUUAGCCUUUUGUGGCCUGUCUUGCUUCGAGCAGUUUACAACCAUAAUGCAAUCGAAUAAAUCUGCACAUCUUGUUAGUUUAGCUCAUUAGUCAAAGUCUUGCUUCGAGCAAUUUGCCUUCAUGGCAUUCUCUGCUUUGUGCAACUCGCUUCAAGCAAUUUGCCUUCAUGGCAUUCUCUGCUUUGUUAGUCUUCGUGGCAUUCCUUGCUUUGUGCAACUUACAACCAUAAUGCAAUCGAAUAAACCUGCACAUCUUGUUAGUUUAGCUUACAUUCUGAAAGUCAUUAAUCAAAAUCUUUCUUCGAGCAAUUUGCCUUUGUGGCAUUCUUCGCUUUAUGCAGCUCAUUCGAGCUAUUAGCCUUCGUGGCAUUCCUUGCUUCAAGCAGUCUACAACCAUAAUGCAAUCGAAUAAACCUGCACAUCUUGUUAGUUUAGCUUACAUUCUAAAAGUCAUUAAUCAAAGUCUUGUUUUGAGCAAUUCGCCUUCGUGGCAUUCCUUGCUUCGAGCAAUUUACACCUAUAAUAUUAUUGAAUAAAUUUAUCACUUACACAUCUUUUUAGUUUAGCUUACAUUUUGAAAGUCAUUAAUUAAAGUCUUGCUUCGAGAAAUUCGCCUUUGUGGCAUUCCUUGCUUCGUGAAGCUCUCUCUUCCCAACUUACCUGGAUAGUCUUUUCUUCGGCAUUGGAGUCAUUACAGGUAAAAAAAGUUUUCCAUUUCCCCGUGAGUCCCAUCACUCCCUUUUCUAUCCAAUGAUGGGUGGCAGCUCCAGUAUUUCAGCCACAAAGUGGGCCACCUUUCGGUGCCCACAGAUUGGCGACCCCAUUGGGGACAAAGUGAGGAUUGUGUAGGUGCCACUUUCCUUCCAUUUGUUUUUUUCUUCUCUUUAGUUUGUUUAUUUCAUUAGAAAAAAAAAACUAGACUAUUUUCCUUUUACUCCAAUAAUUGGGUAUUUAGAUUGGUUUCAGAUUGUGAGUAGGGAGGUAAGGCUACGUGCGGGGGGUCUCCUUAAAGGCUAGGGCAAAUGAGGUGAUAAAAUGAUGAUCUUGUUAUGAGUUGGAUCCCUAUUUAUAGGGAGAGAUCCCCAGGUCCUGAAAGGAAGGAGUUAAAAGUGUUUGAUUCCCAUUAGGAAAGGAAAUCUUGGAUUCAGUGUCAGUUGUUAGGGAGCACCGUUAGGGUUUCGCCAUGUGUCUUAUGAGAUAUCUCAGGGACGAGCUUUCCUUUCGUCUAAGGAUUCUCAUAAUACAUGUUUGCUACUUCCUUUCGUGAGCCUCUUAGACUAACGUGGCGUGGGUGACGUCACUACUUAUCUCAUGUGUCCUCUCUAAUCCUAUGAGGUGUUCCGUCACACGCGUUAUUAGUGAUGCACGCGCUUCUUUUACUUGUUUCUGACCUGCGAUGAGCUUGAGCUCAUCGCAUUUGUGUGAUGGCUUUAAACUCAUCUCAAGUCUAUGCGGGUCUUGAGUUCAUCGCAGCUCAUUUCGGGUCAUGAGCUCAUCGCAUGUCUAUGCGGGUUCCGGGCUCAUCGCGGAUGUACGCCGGGUUAUGAACUCAUCACAAGCGUUCAUGUGGUAUUGGUUUAGUACCUUCUAUUCUCUCAUGGUCUAUGCGACUAUCAUACACCUACACAGAUUGAAUCUUGAUUUUAGUUUUUCUAUUUAAGUCGCCCUUUGCAAAUUUCUGGCUGGGCUUAGUUUGGGACAAAUUGACUUGUUAACCAUUUAAGUGGAUUGUUUGAGACUCAUGUAUACAACUUAUGGAUGAAUUCUUUUUAGGACUGAAUGUGUAGACUGCAUGAAACCAUUGGAUUAGGUAGGAGUCCCUUGUCAUAAUAAACAUGUUCCGUUGUGCAUGCUAAAAUACUAUACUCUGUUUAAGUAACAGUCCUAAUGGAUCUUAGCUUGGAUUUUGGAUUUACAAGAAUGCCAUGAUAUCUCAUGACUCUUUAACCAAGGUAGUGAAGGCUGCAUAAAUUAAACCUCCCUUUUACCCCUUGAAGCCUGUUCCCAUAUUUUGUAUUUUUAGCAUAACAAGUUAAGAUUGCUUUUUGGCUAUUAAUAAAAGUUUUUGAGAGCUUUACACUAUUUCUACUUAGCCUUUCUUUUUGGAAUUUCUCUCUCUCUCUCUCUCUCUUUUUUUGCAUAAUCAUCGCAUGAAUGGGCUUAGAUUUGAAUAAUAGAAUAUUAUUGUCUGUGUUCUGAAUUCUCAGAAAAAAUGAUCUUCUUGGCUUAGUGCUUAUUGUUUUGAUCUGAUAUGCUUGGACACAAGGAAUUAAUCUCUUUGUUGUUUGGCUGACUUAAGCCUUAUUGUUGGAAGCCUAGUAAAAUAGGGACUGGCAUAACAGCCCUAGCAAGAUUCUUGGAAGUCUGUGGUACAGAAAUCAGUCACUUUGUCUUUACUGAAUUCUCAGUCACUUUGUCUUUACAGAAAUCAGCUCAACGUGGAUUAGAUUUGAGUUUCUAACAGUAGUGCUUGAUAUGUUUUGUGGUGACUCUUGCUUGAAUGACUCUUGUGUUGAAUGGUGGUCUUGGAGUUGAUUGAUGAUGUGAGGAAGAACCUUCGGAGCUUAGGGGAUGGAGUGGAAUAAUGGAUGCAUAUGGAAGUGAUUUUCUUUUUUUUUUGUGCAAGUGACCUUUCCCUUGAACCACCCCAGCCCCCUUCUCACUACUGUAACUUAUAGCAGUAAACCAGCCCAUGAGCCUACCUCCUUAGAACCCCCCAACUGCUGCAAUUCAUUGUAGUAAACCAGUCCCAAGAAUACCUCUCCCAAUCCUCCCAACUGCUGCAAUUUGCAGCAGAAAACCUACACCAAGUGACCAAACCAACUCUGAAAUCGCUACUAGGAACCACCAUGUCUGCUGCAAUUUGUUGUGGUUUUACAGAAGAGAACUAACCCUCCAACUGCUGCAAUUUUCUGCAGAAAACCAGAAACCAACAUAAAACUUACCCCAAAAUACUCCCUUUAAACCCUGUCUGCUGAAAUUUACAGCAGUAAACCACACCUGAACCCACUCCCUUCACCCCAUCCAAAUGCUGCAAUUUGCAGCAGAAAA